rnacentral:lncRNA from 1 species
GCCCAUUAGAAAUUAGCCCACAUCCCACCCAAAACCAAAAAAAGGAACAAAGACUCCCAUCGAGAGUCUUCUUUUCCAUCGAAUCUGACAUGAAAACAAUCUCUUAGGGCUAUCAAAAAUCAUGAACAAUCUCCUAUAAAUCUCCCCCUCCCCCCUCCAAAGCACUUCACGAUGAACACCGACCCUUCUCCUCUCUUCUUCCUCUCUCUUUCUCCUGAUUGUCAUCGGAUCCCUUUCAUUGUGCCUGCUAAAAAUUAGGGUUGGAGGAACUACCGAAGCCGAGGUAAAAGCCCCUCCGUUCCUUCUCUCUCUAUUCCCUUCUUCCCAUGCCUUUGUGUAGGGCCGCCGGCCAUUGGAUUCAUUGGAAAUCCACUACGAA